CGAACUCUAAAAAAUUUUCAAAAGUAUAACCUUUUAUACCUAAAGGUUAAAUUUGCCAUUUGGAAGGGCAGUCUGAACUGUAUCUAUUUAUAUUUCAGUAUUAACAUCCCUUCAUUGACUAAGAAUGAAGCCUUGAGAUCUCUACUUUAAUAAAGUAAAUCCUAUUUCCACAUCAUCCAUGACAUUGAAGUCCUUGUUUCUUAUGUCCAUCCAUGCUGUUGCCGUUGCAGUAUUUUCUUCUUUCUCAAGGCUGAAUGCCAUGCCACUGACUGUAUCUACCACAUUUCCUCAAUCCAGUCACUCAUUGAUGGAUACUUAGCUGUUUCUGUACCUUAGCUAUUGUGAAUAACGCUGCAAGGAACAUGGGAGGACACAUAUGUCUUUGAGAUGAAGAUUUUCUUUCGGAAAUAUAUACCCAGAUAUAUACCCAGAAGUGGAAUUCCUGGAUCCUACGCCCCAGGGAACCAUGAAUGGAAGCCCCACUGACCUGCAGAGCAGGACAUUCUGGCAACCUGUCACCCGGGCAGCAUCUGCACAACCUGGAGCACAGAAGGAGAAGCAAUAGCUCCAUGUGUACCCUGGGUGCACCGGCGGGAGGAGGAGACUUCGGGAGCCUGCUAUGUCACCGCCUUUGCUGACCUCUUGACACUUUUAUCCUUAGAAAGAAAGGAAACAAAUCACGAAUAACAAUAAUAUGGUCGGCCCUUGGACAACACAGGCUUGAACUGCACAAGUCCACUUAUAUGAGAAAUUUUGAAAUAAAUACAUACUACAGUACUCCACAAUCAGCAGUUGGGUGAAUCCAUGGGUGUGGAACCUUACCAAACCUUAAAGUUUAUGUGUGGAAUUUCAUCUACAUGAAGGCUGGGCCCCGACCCCUACAUUGUUCAAGGUCAACUGUACUACUCACUAUUUACUACACAUACCAGCCUAUUUGGUAUUGUCAUUGUACCUGGGUGCUGUAUUUUAUGACUGAAACAAAGAAUGAGAGUGUGGCAUAAUAAAACAUGAGGGAAAUACAA
ensembl:lncRNA